UAAGUUCUCGGGCUAGCGCUGGAGAGUU
rnacentral:sRNA from 1 species